rnacentral:rRNA from 1 species
CCUACGGGAGGCUGCAGUGAGGAAUAUUGGUCAAUGGGCGCGAGCCUGAACCAGCCAAGUAGCGUGAAGGAUGACUGCCCUACGGGUUGUAAACUUCUUUUAUAAAGGAAUAAAGUGAGGCACGUGUGCCUUUUUGUAUGUACUUUAUGAAUAAGGAUCGGCUAACUCCGUGCCAGCAGCCGCGGUAAUACGUAGGAUGCGAGCGUUAUCCGGCUUUAAUGGGUCUAAAGGGGGCGUAGGUGGUUUUUUAAGUCAGUGGUGAAAGGGUGCGGCUCAACCGUAAGAAUGCAUUUGAAACUGGCGGACUUGAGUGCAGGAGAGGAGAGCGGAAUUCGUGGUGUAGCGGUGAAAUGCGUAGAUAUCAGGAAGAACACCAGUUGCGAAGGCAGCUCACUGGACUGUAACUGACACUGAGGCACGAAAGUGUGGGGAGCAAACAGGAUUAGAUACCCCUGUAGUC